UGGUUAUUAGGCAUGGGCUCAAUGCAUACGUUUUAAGUAUGGUGGCCAAUUAUCAAUAUACAUGUAGGUUAAUGACGAUUAGUAUACUACAAAUUAUAAACACAAUGCAAGCCUCUAAUUGAAUUGCGCGAAAGAAUUUUUGAAAGAUACAGAACCAUAGGCAAGAAAGAAAAGAGGAAGGCCAGUGAAUGGUUGUAAAACUACUCUAGCCCCAAAAAGCCGUUUAUUAUGAUGGAACAAAACAACUCCAUUUGCAAGCCACACAUUAGGACGCAAAACUAAAGCACAAGCUCUACAAAUUAACACUAUGCAGGGAAAAAAACUCAAACUCAGCCCUAUGUAAAUGUAAGGGAAAAACUAUGAUAAAACUGCAGCCACAAAUAAUGAGGUUAUUAUGAUGGAGCACCUAGAUAUGAGGCUAAUCGGAGUAUGUCGCUGAAUAUUCCUCCGGCGGUCACUUGAGCCCCAGCACCAGGACCGCGGACUAUUAGUGGCUGUUCCUUGUACCUUGUAGUA
rnacentral:misc_RNA from 1 species